rnacentral:rRNA from 1 species
GAUGAACGCUGGCGGCGUGCCUAAUACAUGCAAGUCGAGCGAACGGACGAGAAGCUUGCUCCUCUGAUGUUAGCGGCGGACGGGUGAGUAACACGUGGAUAACCUACCUAUAAGACUGGGAUAACUUCGGGAAACCGGAGCUAAUACCGGAUGAUAUUUUGAACCGCAUGGUUCAAAAGUGAAAGACGGUUUUGCUGUCACUUAUAGAUGGAUCCGCGCUGCAUUAGCUAGUUGGUAAGGUAACGGCUUACCAAGGCAACGAUGCAUAGCCGACCUGAGAGGGUGAUCGGCCACACUGGAACUGAGACACGGUCCAGACUCCUACGGGAGGCAGCAGUAGGGAAUCUUCCGCAAUGGGCGAAAGCCUGACGGAGCAACGCCGCGUGAGUGAUGAAGGUCUUCGGAUCGUAAAACUCUGUUAUUAGGGAAGAACAUAUGUGUAAGUAACUAUGCACAUCUUGACGGUACCUAAUCAGAAAGCCACGGCUAACUACGUG